rnacentral:rRNA from 1 species
GACGAACGCUGGCGGCGUGCUUAACACAUGCAAGUCGAACGGAAAGGCCCCUUUGGGGGUACUCGAGUGGCGAACGGGUGAGUAACACGUGAGUAACCUGCCCUUGACUUCGGGAUAACUUCAGGAAACUGGGGCUAAUACCGGAUAGGAAUCCUUGCUGCAUGGUGGGGGUUGGAAAGCUUCGGCGGUUUUGGAUGGACUCGCGGCUUAUCAGCUUGUUGGUGGGGUAGUGGCUUACCAAGGCUUUGACGGGUAGCCGGCCUGAGAGGGCGACCGGCCACAUUGGGACUGAGAUACGGCCCAGACUCCUACGGGAGGCAGCAGUGGGGAAUAUUGCACAAUGGGCGGAAGCCUGAUGCAGCAACGCCGCGUGCGGGAUGACGGCCUUCGGGUUGUAACCCGCUUUCAGCAGGGGCGAAGCUUUUGUGACGGUACCUGCAGAAGAAGCACCGGCUAACUACGUG